CGGGGUAUAGCGCAGUUGGUAGCGCGCUUGCAUGGGGUGCAAGAGGUCGCCGGUUCAAAUCCGGCUACCCCGA
rnacentral:tRNA from 1 species